rnacentral:lncRNA from 1 species
CCACUUUUAAUUUUAUUUUAAUAACAUGAUAAUUCUAUAUAUUAAUAAAAUUCUGUUGCAUCACAUAGAUAAUAUGCUAUGUAAAGAAAAACACAUAUCAGACAACCAAAUGAAAUUAAUCGAGACAAGAUAUCAUCUAUCCUAUCACCAAUUCUAAAAAUUGAUGAUGUGAAAAAAAAGAUUACAGCAGGUUAUCUAUCCCAUCAACUCAAAAUAUUAAUGUUCUCUCUGCUCGAUACAUAUCUCAACAUUCAAUCGAAAGAGAAGAGAGUAACAUCAAAAUAAAAUAUAUAUAGAUGAUGUGAUAAGGAUAUUUUGUUGGAGUGAUGCAGAGGAUUUAUUUUAAAUGUUAAUCUAAAUAAUAAUAUAGAUGAUGAAAUCUAAAUAAGUCUUUGGAAAUGCUCUUGGAAGUCAUUUUUCAAACCAUGAAUGCGGAUACGGACGCAGUUCAUUGGUCGAGAUCGGUGCUUCGACUGGACGGACGGAAGUACUCGUCGUCGGAGUCCGUCUUGCGGUCCAGUGGGUGUAGCUGCCGCCGUCAUAGAUACCACGGCCUCGCCGACUCGCCGUCGUGGGUUUCACCGGUUCGCCGCCGUCCAACGCUCCGACCGACGACAUGAUCGGCACGCCUUCCCUCCCUCUCGCCGCAGGCUUCUUGGGGUGGAGCAAGACCUGCAGUGCAGAUCGAUCGAUCGAUCGAUAUCACCACCAAAUUUGCAUAUAGUUAAUCUGACGUAUAUGCGUGAUGCAUCUGAUCUCCGAUGAUCUCGUGAGAUCAGCAUCGAUCAAGAUCGAGCAUCGAUGAUCUACCAUGGUGUAUCUGCAGUCGACGAAGACGAGGGGAGGGCCGAAGUAGAGGGCAGGCACGGUGUCGCAGCAGCCGCUCAGGGUCGCCGCCGCCGCCGCCGNNN